rnacentral:rRNA from 1 species
GAUUAUGGCUCAGGACGAACGCUGGCGGCGUGCCUAACACAUGCAAGUCGAGCGGGGACAUGCGACGGAUGUGAAGUUUCGGAUGGAACUGAAGAUGUAUGUUCUAGCGGCGGACGGGUGAGUAACGCGUGAGCAACCUGUCCUUCACAGGGGAUAACACAGCGAAAGUUGUACUAAUACCGCAUAAGACCACAACGGGACAUCCCGAAGGGGUCAAAGGAGCAAUCCGGUGAAGGGUGGGCUCGCGUCCGAUUAGAUAGUUGGUGAGGUAACGGCCCACCAAGUCGACGAUCGGUAGCCGACCUGAGAGGGUGAUCGGCCACAUUGGGACUGAGACACGGCCCAAACUCCUACGGGAGGCAGCAGUGGGGAAUAUUGGGCAAUGGGGGGAAACCCUGACCCAGCAACGCCGCGUGAGGGAAGAAGGUUUUCGGAUCGUAAACCUCUGUCCUUGGUGAAGAGGAAGAGACGGUAGCCAAGGAGGAAGCCCCGGCUAACUACGUGCCAGCCGCAGC